GUGGGGAAUUUUGGACAAUGGGGGCAACCCUGAUCCAGCCAUUCCGCGUGAGUGAAGAAGGCCUUCGGGUUGUAAAGCUCUUUCGGACGGAAAGAAAUCGCACGGGCUAAUACCCCGUGUGAUGACGUACUGUCAUAGAGCCAGC
rnacentral:rRNA from 1 species